rnacentral:lncRNA from 1 species
AAACAGGACCUUGCCCUGUCACUCAGGAUGGAGUUCAGUGGUCGAGUCAUGGCUCAUUGUAGCCUCAAACUCCCAGGCUCAAGCAACCCUACCAUGUCAGCCUUCCCAGUAGCUGGGACUACAG